rnacentral:rRNA from 1 species
AUUGAACGCUGGCGGCAGGCCUAACACAUGCAAGUCGAACGAGUGGCGGACGGGUGAGUAAUGUCUGGGAAACUGCAUGAUGGAGGGGGAUAACUACUGGAAACGGUAGCUAAUACCGCAUAACAUCAGAUGUGCCAAGAUGGGAUUAGAUAGUUGGGGGGGUAACGGCUAACCAAGGCGACGAUCCCUAGCUGGUCUGAGGGGAGGACCAGCCAAACUGGAACUGAGACACGGCCCAGACUCCUACGGUAGGCAGCAGUGGGGAAUAUUGCACAAUGGGCGCAAGCCUGAUGCAGCCAUGCCGCGUGUAUGAAGAAGGCCUUCGGGUUGUAAAGUACUUUCAGCGGGGAGGCGUUACCCGCAGAAGAAGCACCGGCUAACUCCGUGCCAGCAGCCGCGGUAAUAC